UUGUGGAUUCUCCCUCAUUUGGUACCCGAAAGUUUAGCUAAACCCUCUGAAAAGACACAGUUGUUCACUUUUUCACUGUGUUCAACAAACCUGUUUAUUCAAAACUUUCAACUUGAAAUAACUCUCUUAAACAUGGACACCCACACAUUUUUGAGGAAGUCCAAGAAACGAGGCCCUCCUCUUUCUUUUGAAGAAGAGCAACAUCGCUACAAAGCAGAAUUUAUGAUCAUGAAACAGCAGGAUCAAGUUCCUGAUUAUUUUUCUAGACCUAGCUGUUGACAGGAAGAAGCUUCCUGGAGAAAUUUCACGAAAUAACUGAGAGGACAGACAAAUGUGUCCGAGGAAAUACUUUCAGAUGAGGCUGUGUUGGACCUGCAUCUCUGGACUGUGAAACAUCUGUAAAUGUGGUUGGACGUGCUGCCGUGCUGCGCAACUCUCGCAACGUCCACAUGAGACUUUUGGUAGCUAAUGCUACCAUACUUUAGCUUAGCAGCUAGCAAUGGCCUCUCUCCCUCCCUCUCCCUCUCCUGCUCUCUGUUGCUCGGUGCGUCAAAUGUUCAGUUACUCCUUCAGCGGUAAUGGUAUGUGGAACAAGUGUAGUUUAUUUGUAAACAUGGAGGCAAAGCUUAGUGAUUUAGAAGUUUGGCUCCGCACCUUGGUAGAUCAGUCAUUCGCUACUUCAGUUAGUCAGCCCCCAGUAGCCGGUGUGGACCAACCUGAGUUAUCUCCUAUUAGCCGUCCCCCAGCUUCUCCCGAGCAGCCGGGAGGCCAGGGUGGCUGGGUGACUGUCUGAAAGAGAAAUACCUGUAGGCAUUAGGUCACGGUUCACCACCAAACUGUUUACGUUUCUAACAGAUUCUCCCCACUCAGUGACACACCUGCCGAGAAACCAACUUUGAUUAGCGGCGAAACCAGCGACCAUAUUUAAGUGCAUCCUUGUAGCCAGAGCAGGCGACAUUGAGUCUUAUUUGAAACUGGUUUGGGUCUGGUUUGGGAAAAACGUAAAUUUACAGUAAGAUUGUUAUUCAUGUUGGCGGUAAAGACUCCUGAUUACGCCAAUCGGUGGUCACUAAGAUUAAUGGUCAGUCGGUGUGUACAUAUGCAGCAACAACCAAGCCAUCUUGGAGGGCAAAAAAAGUUGCCAUACUGCCGGAUAGUUGUUGUGCUAUCGGAUGCACUAACCAAUGAAGAGACAACCCAGGGCUUUGUUUUUACAGAAUUCCAUCUGAUAGAGGAAACCUUGCACCAGCAGUGUAAGGUGAGGGAUUCUUCACAAGGUAAACGUAAAACAUCACCGUAGUCGAGCGCUGGCAGGGACCUGGUGGUUUUUGUAGCUUGUGUCCAUAUCUUUUUCUUGAGUAGAGAGGUGAUCCAAAUAAUCGUGGGAAGGAAAGUUAACAGCUUUUGCGGUGUCUCUAUGGGGAGUCUGGUUGGAACCGCCAUCCUGGUCUGUUGUUCUGCCCUCCAGGUCACCGUAGAUGUCACACGACUGAAAACUAUGAAUUAUAGGUGAAUUUAAUAUUCAUGUGGACGUUGCGAAUGAUAGACCUAGUGUUUAUCUCACUAUUAGAUUCACUUGGCUUUUGUCAGAGUGUUCAUAAACCGACUCACUGUUAUAACCACACCCUCGACCUUGUUUUGGUAUAUGGUUUUGCACUGAACAUUUAUUAGUGUUCCCACAGAAUAAUUUUUUUCUGACCACUAUUUAAUAGUGAAUCCAUCAGCUUUUUAUUCAUUACCAUGUCUCAAAGUAACAGAAGAUUCCUAUGCUUAUUUCAGUCCUUUCCAAAUCGAUCAUCUUGUUGAUAGUGCUGCAGGCUCA